ACCACUUUUCAACAGGUCUGAGAGCUGACUGAAGAGUCUGCUCAGGUUGCCACUUCACUGCAGCCGCUCUAGAAGGAUUUAUAGGCUCCUUAGUGCUCAGACAACUGCUGCCUCCCCUUUCGCAAGCAGAAGUGCAGCAAUUUUAGCUUCAGUAACUGUUGCCAUUGUGAACACCCUCAGAAUGACAGAAGAGGCAAAAUCAGCAGGAACUGGACACAGGGAGAGAGGAAUUUCAGUGAUGGAUAGAGGUUCAGUACUAGGUUUGGGUUUGUUACGUGUGUGGGUGAGAUUCAACUCCAAACUCAGAUACUUACUUUUAGUCAUCUUCAUGCCCAAAUGAAUGUGUAGCCAAUUUUAAUCCAGAUCAAAAACUGCAUGCAACAGCAAAAUGAGACAACAUACAGAGUCAUUGAAAUACCUGAAACUCAUACUGAAUUCCAGUUCUCAGACAACAUAACUGCAUUAAACACAUGAAAGAAUUGCUGCUUUAUACUCAGGAUUACAGUGCCAUCACAGAGACACAGUCAGCUGAGAGAAGAGGAGGAAGGAAUUUCCUCACUUUCUUAUCCAGACCUCUGAGUAGGAGAUGCUGAGAGAGGAGCACAACUGGUACUGUAGCUGGGGAGGCAAAACACUGUGGGACCAGGUGAAGCUGCUGAGAUGUGAUUCACUUCAAACUUCUUUGUGGUAGGAACUGUAAUUUGGAAGGUAAAGACCAAUACAU